CACUAUCGUUAACUGAAUACAUAGGUUAACGAGGCGAACCGGGGGAACUGAAACAUCUAAGUACCCCGAGGAAAAGAAAUCAACCGAGAUUCCCCCAGUAGCGGCGAGCGAACGGGGAGCAGCCCAGAGUCUGAAUCAGCUUGUGUGUUAGUGGAACGGUCUGGAAAGUCCGACGGUACAGGGUGAUAGUCCCGUACACCAAAAUGCACAGGCUGUGAACUCGAAGAGUAGGGCGGGACACGUGGUAUCCUGUCUGAAUAUGGGGGGACCAUCCUCCAAGGCUAAAUACUCCUGACUGACCGAUAGUGAACCAGUACCGUGAGGGAAAGGCGAAAAGAACCCCGGCGAGGGGAGUGAAAAAGAACCUGAAACCGUGUACGUACAAGCAGUGGGAGCACCUUCGGGUGUGACUGCGUACCUUUUGUAUAAUGGGUCAGCGACUUAUAUUCUGUAGCAAGGUUAACCGUAUAGGGGAGCCGCAGGGAAACCGAGUCUUAACUGGGCGUUAAGUUGCAGGGUAUAGACCCGAAACCCGGUGAUCUAGCCAUGGGCAGGUUGAAGGUUGGGUAACACUAACUGGAGGACCGAACCGACUAAUGUUGAAAAAUUAGCGGAUGACUUGUGGCUGGGGGUGAAAGGCCAAUCAAACCGGGAGAUAGCUGGUUCUCCCCGAAAGCUAUUUAGGUAGCGCCUCGUGAACUCAUCUUCGGGGGUAGAGCACUGUUUCGGCUAGGGGGUCAUCCCGACUUACCAACCCGAUGCAAACUACGAAUACCGAAGAAUGUUAUCACGGGAGACACACGGCGGGUGCUAACGUCCGUCGUGAAGAGGGAAACAACCCAGACCGCCAGCUAAGGUCCCAAAGUCAUGGUUAAGUGGGAAACGAUGUGGGAAGGCACAGACAGCCAGGAUGUUGGCUUAGAAGCAGCCAUCAUUUAAAGAAAGCGUAAUAGCUCACUGGUCGAGUCGGCCUGCGCGGAAGAUGUAACGGGGCUAAACCAUGCACCGAAGCUGCGGCAGCGACACUAUGUGUUGUUGGGUAGGGGAGCGUUCUGUAAGCCUGCGAAGGUGACCUGUGAGGGUUGCUGGAGGUAUCAGAAGUGCGAAUGCUGACAUAAGUAACGAUAAAGCGGGUGAAAAGCCCGCUCGCCGGAAGACCAAGGGUUCCUGUCCAACGUUAAUCGGGGCAGGGUGAGUCGACCCCUAAGGCGAGGCCGAAAGGCGUAGUCGAUGGGAAACAGGUUAAUAUUCCUGUACUUGGUGUUACUGCGAAGGGGGGACGGAGAAGGCUAUGUUAGCCGGGCGACGGUUGUCCCGGUUUAAGCAUGUAGGCUGGUUAUCCAGGCAAAUCCGGAUAAUCAAGGCUGAGGUGUGAUGACGAGGCACUACGGUGCUGAAGUAACAAAUGCCCUGCUUCCAGGAAAAGCCUCUAAGCAUCAGGUAACAU
rnacentral:rRNA from 1 species